GCGUCUGUUUUGGAUACGGAGAUGUUUUAUUCAGCGAAAGCUUUCUGGCGUGCGUGAUAGCACGUUUUGCUCUGACGGCUUCCCCAAAAACAAAAUUGCGUUUCCACACUGGCCUUUGUCUUCCAGUGCCUAUAGUGAUAGGUCUCGAAGGUGGGUUGCAAAUUUAUCGCGCAAGUACUCGAAACCAGGUUGUGUGUUGUGCUUCCGUUCAUCAUCCCUAAUCGUAAGUUGGGGGAGUUGAGUAGUGCAUCUGCUUGGAGAUAACACUUGCAGGUUGGUAACGAUGUUCGAGGAGGCAUAAGAUACUUAGAGCUGCAAGCCAGAAAGAGAUCGCUAUGGGAAUGCAUCUAACGGUGGCGCGUUCCUUGAGUGUGCGUGUUCCUAGCGGGAGACGAACAAAAUAGUUCCCAGUGUAACGCUGUCCUGUUUCACCAAGGCCAGGCCUGAUGGGGGGGAUAGUUUGUUCCCGAACGUUCCUUCAUUUAUUUUCUCAGUGCAUGCCGACCGCAACUGGGUGUUAGCUGUUGCUGGAAGGAUUGCUUUGCGUUUCUUAACUCUUCUUACGUUUUUCAGUAAUAUCAAGUGUACUUAUAAUAUCUAAUCGUCAAUAUUUUACUCCACAGUACUACACAACUAGCGACGCCUGGUUGCCAUCAACACAAAUCGAUCCUGUCCUUGCCCUCAGCAGUAUGAUUGUUGUCUUACCCGGUGCCGUUACCACCUUACGUAAUGUCGCUUACUGGUACCGAUCCCAGUGCCAGUUACGACGCCGCCAGCGGUAUUCACAAGCGAUGAGAACAAAGAACUGCAUAUACACAAUAUACAUAUAUAUAUACAAAAAAACGAUGUCUCAUCCUAAGAAAAAUGAUCGAGAUGCGUCAAUCAAAGGGUGAAAUAAUGCCACAGUGUAUGGUUCGGUUUGGCUGACUCAAUUCCAGCGACCGAUAGACACACAUUAUUCACGCGAUUCGAUCCAUUAAAGGCGUUCGGUGAGGUGAUUCCUUUAAAAUGAACCACACACACACGCAACCACAGCAAAAUCACAGUGACGAAUGCAGUGAUAGGUUUUAAUGUCUCAUUUGAACCUUGUGGUGUAUGGGGAUUUUAUAAAUGCAUACAUAAAUCUUAAAUCUCUUAUUAGCAGCUUUUUAGAGGAUUUUUUAUACACUAAUUGUAUCUCCUCAAUAUCCUGAAAGCUCGAUUUGGUGUACCAAUUUGUCGUACACUGUACCUUGGUUACUUUGCAUUGAGGUUAGGCAUACGCGAUCUGCUUCCCACCGGUUCCUAUCCGUUAACAUGCAAAUGUAAGCCCUUCUUCCCCCUCCAUCUCCUACAACCUACUUCAUACUAACAUCAACAUGCAUCGAGCUCGAGAUGCAUGGAUCAGCAUCAUCGCCGACUCGCGCCUGCAGCAUCUCGCGAUUACAAACUUGUGACACUUAAUCACACCCUCGGAUGGUUCGGAUGAUCCCUGCAAGAGACUACAUGACUACAGCUGCGGCCUGCCCUGUGAGAUUGUGUAUAUUUGUGUGCGGGAAUUAGCAAGGAGCAAACAGAGAUUGCAAUGUGGCAAAGACACACACACACACAAAAGGCGGGCAGUGGAGUGGAGAAAGAGGGAAAAUAAUUACAUUUACCACAGCCCGCUACAGCUGCGAUGUCGUUCCUGUGGUACCACAACUGAACCAGCCCGCGCUUGUCCUUCUUCCCCGCUCCAUUCCGCUCCAUUUCCGCCACGGGUGUCACCUGUUCUGGCGCGCACGUGCCCGCAUAUGCACGCGCACAUGCGCCCAUUGCAAGCCGUGCGCCAGCGCAGUGCAAACGAUGCAACUGCCAGCGUCAUCUUUGCCAGCGGAUUUUUUGUUUUGUUUUUGUUGCCUGCCCCACCGUUCAAGGUUAUAAUUGACCGUGCAUUUUAUUGUGAUUUUUACCCCAAUGUAGGAUACCCCGCGCCAAUCCAUUCCUUUUUGCUGUUCGGUAUCUAUAGAAGACACAUUUUGUGACAUACCAUUUCUAACCACACAUUCUUCAUUUUAAUUGAUUCCCAGUUUUUUUUAAUAAAAGGAAAAGUAUAUGAAUUGUUUUGCAUUCGUGCGAGGUAGGAAAUGCAAAGACGCCCACCCCCAUUACUUAAAUCGCGAUAAAUGGUCACGCAAUGGUACAAGCUCCCUCUGUCCGGCUGCAUCCAAUGCGAACCCCGUUGCCCAAAAGGUGCCAUAAAAUCGAUCGCUAUGGGGGAAAGCGGCAAACAGAAGGCCCAGGAAUGGUUUGAGCUAAAAAUAAACAAUCCAGAUGGGUAAAAUUGCAACCUUUUUCCCGGUGAAAGAUUGGUUUGGUUCGGAUGUUUGAUUUGUUUUUACUUCCGUUCCGUUUCUGCUUUUCUUCUGCUAUCGUUUUUGCUGCCAGCUGUAACCUUGUCGGUUUGAGCGUGUGUUUUUGAGACACCGUGAUGGUGCUGCACUUUUGUAGUUAUUUUCAUCCAUGUUAGGAUUGCACCCUCCACAUACACAUACAUCUGUACGAGUGGGUUUAUGCUAGAGAAACUGCCUUUUUAAAAUGAAUUAUUUAAAGCGGCAUGAAUGAUCCUCGGGAGAUAUUAAAAUAACUGAUUGCUCUACACGACAAGAAUUAAACAUUAGAAAGGGUUUCAACGGGAGAAGGUAUAAUGGGUUUUUUUAACAAUUUUUUAAUAAAUUACCUUAACGAAAGUGGAAGAAAACACAACCAGAAAACAGAAAACACAACCACAACCACAAAUUAAUUUACUUUCAUAUUACUAUCAAUAGAGUGGUUUGGCUGUUUUGGAUUUUAGAGAUCGAUAUUUAUAUCUAACCAAUUCAUCAAAUAGCAAUAUGGUCAGGCCGUCCUUCAUGAAUGAAAAAAUCAUCGUAUAACACAUUUAACCUGUGUUAAACUACAUUUUACAGCAUAAGCAGUUUAAUAUGGUGUUUUUAUAUAAAUCCGUCAAAAUACGAUGUUGAUGAGCAACAUUUUUUCAAGAUACUACAUCAACAUCCGAUAAAUACUGCCACCAAAGCACUCGCGAACCAGCGCACCACCUGUACAGUUGCGCUCAACAUCUUAAUGCAACCCUUGCUGUACCCAGUCGCGCAAUCUAUCGGACAGCCGCGAAGGGUAGCUUGCCAAGAAGAAAACCCCAAUUCCCCAACCGCAUAGGACUCCCAAGCAACCAAAGCACGUUUGCACGAGCGAAACCAGAAUUCAGAGGUCGACCCAAGCCGCGGGUUUUGGAUCACGGUGCUGAGGCCGCCAGUGGAAGUGGGUCUCUAAUAAAUAUGACAGAGGAAAAUUCAAGUUCACUGUCAAGGUCGUGCGCGAUACGCAGGCGCGCCUAGCGCUCGGGAACAUCGCAUUGCAGGAGCACGCGAAACGGGCGAAACGGAGCACGCGACGCACCAAGAACAUCCACCAAACGGGAGGAAAAGUUAGGGAACGAGAGAGACAUACACAUAUACACACGCCGAUGAAACGCACACCAGCCAGAGGGCCAGGGUGGCGCACACAGCGCAGUACGAACACAUCGGUAGAGGGUUCCCGAACCAAACACAAAAAAAAGAGCGAAAACAAAAAUGAAAUAACAUCUUGGAGCACGAACGCUCCACCAAUACGUCCCUUCAUCGCGCGAUUGUAGCCAGCGCGGCAUAGAAAACGAGAUAGCAAAGGUAACAACAACAACUCAGGCACGGACUUGAGCGAAUAUUAUUCCUGUGGGAACAUGGGAAGACAUCUUGGAAUUGAUCUACUCGAUCAUGACGCACCCGCUUGCUGUGCGUGUACUACAGUAGACGCUAGUGUGCGUGUUCCCCCGGUAUCCCGAGCACGAUCAUUCCGAUGAGAACCGUGGGCGACUUCCAAUUAUGGGCAAAAUUGUGGGCAAACUCGCUAGCAAACGAGCUACCACGCCGGUCGCCAUUUGCUAUUGAUUAUGGGUUGUGUCUUCUCCAUCGCCCAACCCCGUCGGGGGCAAGUAAACUAAUUAAGCAGAUCUCAUCCGGAUCGACACACAUCCCAGUUCUACCCCCAGAUUGGGGGGGUUGAAAGCAAAUGAAACGCAUCAUUUCCUGUAACAUGCAGUUUUGUCCACCAGCAAUACCGAAGUCACAGCGGGCAUGCUGUGUGCGUUUUUGUUUUACUGGUACGCCAUCAAUAACGGCUUAUGUUUACAGACCGUGCAUGAUGAAUGCAGUUUUAUGUGCGUAUUCUUCGCACGCGUCCCUUUCUUCUUCAUUUGCUCUUCGCUCGAGUUAGCAUAGGUCAGGAUGGCAAUGGGAACGACUGCUGGUAAACUGCACCGAAGCAGCGAACAGGGGCGUUGGCAAAUGCCGGAGAAGCUGGCAAUCUUAAUGCAUCGAUGAACGGAUGACAUCAUCACGGUGCGCAUCAAUCGCGGUUUGUUUUACUAUUUUUCAUUUGCUCCCGUACUAACUCGAUAGGCGGAUGUAAAUGAUUGUGAUUGAGAUUAGCAGGAUGGGACUAUAAAAUAGAGUUUAUAGUUAAAUGGUACUUUUGUUGCCUCUAAAGAGUACGUAAUUAGACAUUAUUUGGAGUGUUUUAUCGAAUCUUUUUCGAUCGCAAUCCGUCACUAACAACAAACACGUGCGAACAGGGUGGCUAGCAAGAAGGGUUGAAAAUUUGAAAUGGCAAACAGUAAAGUGUGUUGCAGUUCAUACAGCAAAUGUUUCCAUAUUUAUAACAAUAAGCAAUUUUGACAUAACAUUCAAUCGACCAACAUGUGCACCAUGAUGUUGUUAUAUCUCGAACUUUCAAUAAUUCUGCGUUGGAACCUUUAAAAAAUUCCGUUUUUUUUUCUUCAAGUGUGGUGGUCCCCCUGUCCAAUUCGCCAAUUGCACAACACACGUCGUAGGGGGAGGGAACCCGUGUUCCUGUGUUCAUCCCUUUCAACACCACCAACGAAAAUACACGCACACACACGUGUGUACUUCGAGAAUGCAUUCACGGUGUGUUUUAGUUUGUUACUUCUCACUCUCGCUCUCUCACGCUCACGCCUUACAAUCGCAUUAUUCCAUCUAACGCUCUCCCUCUGGAACACUCUUGUUCUCACAAACCCCAACCUCCAACCGAAAGGCUCCCCAUUGGCUCCAACAGUAACGACCGUAUAAUAAAUCGGAUACAGGGCUCUGGAUCUGGAACAGCAAAAUGAAAGGGAGAAGGGGGGUGUCGAACGAGAGCCAACAAAACAACAAACACUGGGUGGUGCGUGUAGAUGUAGGUAUGGCUCACACAACGAAGCGCCCAGUUCGUACUGGUGUGGGAUGUGGGACGCAUUAGAACGCAAAAUGGGAAAUCAAUUUUUCGGACGACGCGUGUACCGCGCGACGGUGCAAGAUUUUGCAGCCAUUUUCAUUAUCGCCGCGACAGUCGAACGGUGUGGUUCGGUGAGAAAACAGCCCGCCGGGAAAGCAAGUCUUCCCUCAGUGUCAAGGUCCCCAUCUCAUCGUGGACGGGGACGGCGAAACAAAACACACAACAACAACAAUUACGCCACAAUCUGGAAUUUUCCACCGUACAUGGACAAUUAAAUUGUGCGGUUGGUGUUUGUGGCUUUGUGAGUGGGUGUGUUUUAUUGUGAGUGUGUCCCUGUGUUAGAACUGCAUUUUAGAACAAAAGACAAAACAAUUACCCUAAAACUAACUGGCAUACUGGCUAGAGAUAUUUUGGAGCCUAAAAACAUACUUUCCUAGUGGAAAUAUUAUGGACCAAUUUGAAUUUAUAAUAAUUUCACCCCACCCAACACACCCUUUUGCUGUUGGAUCAAAACCGUGGCAAAAUAGAAGAAGCAACAAAAAAAAGCAGGCAACAGCAUCCCCACCUUCGCGUCGUGUGACAGGCGCGCGCGUCGUGUUCGACGUUCGGGAAUGUCAAGAAAUUGCGUUGUACGAAAAGUGUGCAAAUUCCCUCGGGAAUCUCGGGACCGAUGGCGGAUGCGGUGGAUGCGGUGGGUUAGAAGGGUGUACGCCGGUACGCCGCAUAUGUGGGAGGGGCGGGGGGAGGUGCAGGAAGGGAUGGUGAAUGAUGAUCACGGAGAUGCUGUCGGUGUGUUGGUGAUAAAGCUAGCGUUGUGUGCACGUGUAUGUGAGUGUAUGUGCGGCUGUGUGUGCGUACUCGUUAUCCGUGUGCUGGCCCAGUGUGUUGGAGUAGGGAUUGGAUGUUGUUUGUUUUGUUCCCGCACUCAACCAUCGUCAGCCGAUUGGAGCAGAAGCGGUCGUCGUCGGCUAAUCAGAAUUGGCUUCAGGCCACCGGAACACCUGUGCUUGUAGUGUAGCGUGUUGGUUGGGAGUUAGUGAAUGACAAUAGAGCCGCUGGAAAACAUUUCAUCCCUCAAGAUAACGAGUGUGUUUUGCCAGUGUUUUUAAUUUUUACUUGUAAUUUACUUGUGACGAUAACAAAUAUCCACUAGUGUGUAAAACUGUGUAGAAACAUGUGUGUACUUUCUCAGUACGGAUGACGUUGACAGAGUGUUUUACGGUUACGAAAAUAAAUAAAAUACAUUUUCCCCAUGGGAUAGGGCUACAAAACUUCAAUUGAAUGACCUUUCACCAAACAUAGUUUUAUUAGGGGAGACCUCCCAUCACUGUGCUAUGCAACAGAAAAUCCGUGUGCGUGUGUGUGCGAAAUGCAGUAAAGGAACAAAUUCGGUACUAAUUGAAAUCGAAAGCCACCACGGGUCACAUUUCUGCCGUACCGCCCCGAUGGGAGCAAGUGAAACAGUGUUCGAUCGAUCGAUUUCAUCACCUGAUGCGGUCUUCCGCACCGCAUCCCAGCUGACACGGACGCAGCACACGGACGGAGUGCACGAAAGUGCACAUAAGCGCCCAGCUCAGCUGCGCAAUGCAAACGACACGCUCGCUGCAGCUAUAUUGUUGCCUCCCUUUUCGAUGCGAUUGGGUUACAUUGUGCUAUGAGUGUCUGUUUAUGCGAAAGAGUAAUCGAGAGGUAAGUUUAUAAACGAUUUGGGAACGAUACGAAAAACUAGGGUAAAGUGGUAAAUAAAAUUGAACAGUUUUGAGAAGAAAUUUGAAUUUUUUGUGUUGUUUGUAAUUUAUAACUUUGCUAACUAUUUUCCUUUUGAAAACAAACAUAUAUGAGUAUUAUCCAUAUGAGAAUCCACCAUUCUUAUUUAUAACUUUCAACUUUUGACCGAAAACAGUUUUGUCCCAUACAGGCAACAAUGUAUUUAAUUAUUUCACCCCCGAAUGUAGCUCUUGGAAGGGUUAAAUUUGCAUGCAUUCUACCAUCGCCCCCAAUGUAUGUUAUGUAUCCAUCUGCUUGUGGUGGUAGUGGUAGUAGUGGUUGAUCACAAUACACUGCCAACAAACCCGGUAAGCGUGUGUGCGUGUUGGGUUCUGUAUCGGGACACAAACGAAAUGCGCACACCGGAUCGAAGCGCCGAUGCCAGUGCCGUUUUCCAAGUUCAAGUUCAUUGUGUUUUUUCCCUCCGGUUCAUUCAUACGCGCCAACGGAUAUCUUAUGGGGCGUGCAUGCCUGACUCCAGCUGGUGCUGGAAGCCGCGUGCAUUUGCUUGCUCCCUACGUGAAGUGUGUAAAGAUGCAGUUUUUCCCAAGACUACGCUAUUUAAUUCAGUCAAGGAUGAUUUUUGCAUGUAAUGGAAGUGUAUUUUAUACUAAGUUUUAAUGGUGUUUUGUGAAUUAGGUUUUGAGUGAUUUAACCAUCAAUCAGUGGCAUGUGAUAAUUAUUUAAGAGAUUGUUUGUUGAUAUUUCAACCAUUUUUCUAUGUACAUUUCGCUUACCAUGUUCAACGAAAAACAAACGAACCCUGUAACAAACUGGAAGCCGAUUAUAUCGCUAGCUCCAUCAUAGUAAAAAAAAAAACAUAAACUCCCUGGAGCCGAAGAUAAAAAUGAACCAGAUAAAACAAUUGCAGCGCUCAAAUCUACCACCGUGCGCCAUUCUUUACAUUUGUAACACACAAAAAUCAACCCCCAACGUAACACGCACGCAAAGAGGGCAGCACCAAAGUGGCGAAGAAGUAGGCCACCGCAAAGAAGUCUACCGAAACUGUGGCGGCACAAAGAGUGGUGCGAAAACGAAGACAUAAAAAACAAGUCCCCUGACCACGUUCCACCCGGAACGAGCAAGAACGAUGUAUCAAACGAUUGAUCGUCCCAGAGAGAGAGAUGUGGUAAUUUCAGGCAAGCAGGCCUGCCAGCAAAUUGCAAAUACCUUGAACUUGUAACGGAAGAGCGAUGAAUGGCGCAGGCAAAAGAAGUGAAACCAUUGGUGUUACGAUAGGUGUGGUGCCGUGCCACCCUUCCUUCACACUUCCUUCCCACUGAUCACCAGGUUCCAGCGUCUUCAGAUGAAAGCGAAAGAAGUACCCAAGGAAAUAUUGUGUGUUUGCGCCAUACUGCGAAGGAAAGAGCGAGUCAAAUGGUUCCAGAUGUCUUUAUGUGCCACAACAGCGAGUGGGGUGGAACGAUAAGGUGAAUGUUGGGGUAACAGCUGCUACACUCCCGGCACCCCAACCUACCCGGUGUCGUGUGCAACGAGCAGUGGAGCAAGUUGAAGAGAAAAAAAACCAGGGGAACCAGAUAAUGUGCCAUAGUUGUUAAACUUGAACUUGAACGUGAAACGACUCGUUCGACGGUAUCACCAACAUGCGCACAGCUCACCAGCAAGUGUUGCGAUAGUAUUGGUGGCAGCACGAUGAUGGCCCCCACUCGUUCUGUUGCUGCUCCACAUUAUCCCGGUUCUGUUUCACCUCACCCCAGGGGUCUCUUUCGAGCACAUACGGCCGUACAUUGAAACACACACAAACACCCAUAGCGAAGCGCAGAACGUGCCAACCGAACACUUGUCUCCAUACGAACUCACCACCCUCAACCCCGGGGCAAAACGUGAACACGAAUGGGGAUGAUUCAUUUGGUUUGGUCUCCCCUUUCUGGCUGCCAACAGUUGAGUGCCGAGCGGGUGAGUGUGAGUGCCCCACGGUUACAUCACAUCAGCAGCGAUGAGAAUGGAAUAUGUCCAACAUUGGAACAGCUUUUCAGAUGGUUUGAUCAUGAAAUGCGCUGUUUAUUUGGUUCACUGUUAAAACAUUUUCAGCCCCCAUCUACUGCUCUACUCCUGCCACCAUCCAUCCCAGCUGUGCUCUAGUUCGUCCACCACACAAACACACGAAAAACUACUGUCUACCAAUUAGAAACAGCACGUGUAUGGCCGGGCGUGAAACGUGACUCGUGAGUCACACGGCAACAUCGACAACAACCGCUAAUGGCACUGUGUUUGGCGUCAUGUGGGAAGCGAUUGCGCAAAAACGUGAGUGCAAAACAUCCUCCUCCCCCACCUCAAGCAGGCCACAAAAGGGCAGGAAUCGUCUUCGUUCCGGUUUCAUCACAAAGGGCCUCCCGCGAGUGGUUACGAAACGCAAGUUUUGAUAUUCAAUAUGCAGCGAAGAUCGCACUCGAAACAAAUCGAGCAAGUGUAUCUCGUACGCAGGGUCAACGGAAAAAAAUUACAUAAAUGUGAAUUCGUAAUUUUAUUUGCCUGCUGUCUGGUGAAUUCCAAAAAUAUUAUCUUCUUUUAUUUACUAAGUCAUUAUUAAAUUUCAUUGAAUUUAUUUAUUUUUUAUAUUUUAGGAAAAGAACUCUACCGGCAUUCGAGCUGUUGUUCAAUGUUCGCUUAUCAAACAAGAACCCUCGGCCACUGGGAUACUCCUUGUGCUCGCUGUGUAUUUUGAUUCAAACUAGUGAACACAUCUGGUGGUAUCUCAGUGGCCGGGCUGAGUUCACACUGCACCGGGGAAUGCAUCACCGAAGGCAGAAGACGGGUUUCCUUCAACAACAACGAUCAUCGAUCCAUUAGAUGAGUACUACAAAUCGACGCAGCGCAGUGUACAAAGUACAUUUUCGUGCGUCAGGGAAAUGAGUGACUCGAGUCAGAACUCGGGAAAACUAAAAGCUUUCCGUGGAAAGCUUCUAGUAGGGUGCCGACGAUGAACAAUGUACAUGCAUUUCACCCUAUCGUUACCUUUCAUUCAAACCGAUGGAAGAUAGUACGCGGUUGCUCUAGUCUCUAACCGUUGCAAGUUGUAUACAAAUUUAAAUCUGUUAGUUGUGUACAAUAGUAUCAGAAUAGUUUUCCUUUACAUUAGCAGAGCAGGGCGUAUUUCCCUUUCCGAUGCGAUUACCCUAGACGGAAAGGUAGCUUGGAAAAAUAGCUCAAAUUAACACUCGAUCGUAUCAGCCUAAAAGUAUGCAAUCCGCAUGACACACUGUUUAAAUUUAAAUUCUUCGCAAGCAGCAAGGGAAAUAAUCGACCGUUAACACGAUUUUGUAAUUCAAUUGUUUACAGCAAAUUAUUUCAAUAUUUUUUAAGUUGCCAUUCAUGUAUGGCUUCUAGAGAAGUUAUUUAAAGCAUUUGUACUAAUAUGCUGAUCCCCGCUGCAUAUGAUUGGUUUGAACAACCAUCUGUUCUGUAUACCUUUUAGGAAAAGGUUAAAACGAGCGAUUUUUUUGUUCACACAGGCACAUCCCCGUGGUGAUGAAUAAUUAAUUUAACUAUCCCAACCAAAAACACUUCGAUCCACCUCUCCUCUUCACGUUCUCUUGGUACUCCUGCGCUGGCCGAAAUCGCUGAACAAACAAGCCUGCCUACUUGGCAAGUGCAAUUAUUUUAUGUAAUUACGAUUUAUUUUUAUCAACACGAACACACACCAUCGUGCCCCAUCUCCACCACCGGUGGGCACCACAAAACCUACGAGCUGUACUAUGUGCAUCUCGGCUCGGGUCCUUGCAGCUUCCACCACUGACGUGGAUGUGGGAGCGCUGAAAAACCCGGUCAGCAGCGGGGUGGUUGGUUUUAAUGCAUUAGACGCAAGGUGGAUUGUGGUGCGAUGGGUGCUGCAGCGUCGAAUGCAGCAGCAAGCCGCGCACGGGCAGCGAGUAUGGCACGUAAAUGGCAUGUUUGUGCCAAAUCUUCAUCGCGACACUUUCGACCUAUCACCGAUGCCGAGGACGAUCUUAUUUUCGUAUACGUCACACGUCCUCCCCACAUGCACACCCCUCGCAUACCUCCGGAAAUGUUCUCACGGUGAACGAUUUUCUUUUUUCUCGACGACGAAAGGUCUCCUUCGGUUUACUUCGCAACACUUCUCUCAAGCUUGUGUGCGUGUUUGUCUGAACUGUGGAGAACAUUUGCGGAAUAUUGAUAAUCGUUAUUAAUCUAUCGAAGGAGACAUUUUGGUGACAUAGUAUGCACGAGUUACGCAGGGUUCUGUACCCCCUUAAAUACAUACACACACACACAAUCCGCGUGCGUGUGGUUUCCAAUGCAAAUGGCUUUCGGGUGUUAAAUGCGCUGCUUUUAAUUUGCCUACAUCGGCAUACGGCUGUUGCAGGUCGGCAGAGGUUAUGAGAUUUCGUCCGAUGCAAACAUUCAUCUACAAGGCUUGCACUUGGCAGAAAAUGGGGAGAUGGUGGGGUAAUGCAGUAAUGCAACUACCAUACUAAACAUCGAGAAAAGAAGUUUUGCUAAAAAUAUCCGCCACAUGGUUUUGGUAGGAAUGGAUGUGGGCGUGCGUGUGUAUCCGGGUAGGUUUUCGAGCAAGCUAGAGCGAGGGUAGGUUAGUGACCAUUUGAUGGCAACUGAUAGUUCGGACUAAAAUUAGUAUUGGUCAAAUGCAGCAUUAUUUUUAAUCUACUAAACAAAUGAACUGUAUGUUCUGUUUUCGUCCUUUUUGGCAGGUAUUUGUGUUAUUUCUGUGAGUUCAUUGAAAACAUUUGCCAAGAAGUUAAACUAAACCACUUUUUAAAUUGAUCCAAAAUCGCCUUCAAUGUGCGAUGAAUGAAUGGUCAAAAUUAGAAAUAAAAAAAAUUGUAAAAGCAAUAAUUCGAUUCCUCAAAGUAAUAAAUUCUUAAAGUAUCCCAUAUGCAAAUUUUGAAACAUUAUUGGGCAGUUUGCCAAAAACUAUAAUUCUCCCACUCACACACACACAUUACUCCACACAGUGUGUGGCAGCUUCCAUUUUGAAGAAUACUAAUUUUCGGGAUGGUAAGCUUUGUGUGUUUUCGGUACGAUCGACAAUCGCGAUCGCGCUUUCUCCAGCCAUCGGUUCAGCAACAAGCGACAGGCCUGUAAAUUUAUGGACCGUGGAGUUUGCAGUUACUAAGCAAACGGUACGCCACUCGCUUCACCGCAAAGCGCACUUAGUGCACACCGUUUGAUACUGCUGAGUGAUUUUCUCUAUGCACCAGAAAAAGUGCAUCGAACGGCGGGAUCGCACAUGCAUUGAAGGUCCCGGAUCGCGGGUAUUGUCCGUGGCCGUGUGCCACAAUGAUUUAUGCACGAUCGACAUGAGGGAGGUGAGUAGAGGCCUCCACUUUUUGCAUGCAACACCAACGUACUUUUGGUUGGUGUGUUGUUACACUUGUGUUAGGUCUCUUUUUUUCUAUCUUUUUUUACAAAAGAUAAUGUGUUUGAUAUGCAACCGGAGGGAAACCGUAGCGAUGUAGGAUGACUGUAGCCUUAACUGCUGCAUUCCGACAGACGUUUUGUUCGCAGGUGGAAUUCCUACCGGGUGGAAGGUGGUGCUAUGCGUAUUGUUUCACGGUCACAGUCAUAUGGAGCGUUUGUCUAGUCGUUGCCAAUGCCAGCAGAUCACUGCAAAGGACACAUCGUUAACGCUAACUCAAUCGAUGUAUAGAAUGCUCAAGAUGAUUAUUUACAGAUUUUUUUUUGAAUAUUAUUCCUUUUUUUCUUCUCAGGUAUUCUGGCACUUCAAUAAUGCAACACUUUCGUGGAAGGUGCGCAACAGCAAAACUCUUGAUGAAACCAGUAGAAUCAACAUCUGUACAGGUAAGUGCAAAGUUUUUUUUUACUAUUUUAAAAUUGUUUUUUAUUAACUACUUAAAACCAAACCGUGUUUUAGGAAUGUUUCUUGAUCAGAUUGCGUGGAUUGCAGUUUUAAAGAUUGGUUUAUUUAACGUUUAGUAUCAAUGAAAUAUCCUUCUACUGUUCUUAAAAUGCUCUUCACUGCUGCUGUCGUUACUGCUGUACGGCCCCCUUUGGCUCUAAGAACCUUCUUUAUUAAUACCAAUCUUUAGUCGACCAAAGAUAAUUACUAUCGAGACUUUUUCACAUGAUUGUCUUCGUCACACCUAUUACCAGACACUCAAUAAGCUGUUGCGACAAGCAUCAUGGGGUGACGAUCCUAUUUGGUCGGGCGCACCUGACACAGUGUGUCUCCGAAGGGAAAGUGUUUCUAAUCCAAUAUCCUCCAACAAACGACAGUUAAAAGGGCGUGAGACUAUUCUCCACCACGUUGGCGGAUUUUCACUUAUGAUAGCGACAAAGAAAUGCCACCAGAACACAUUUAAUUGCAUGGCAUUGAGCUGCCCUUGGGUGAGGGUGUGCAGUAGGAUAAGGGAGCAACAUUUUCCUCGCUUCCCUUCACACUGCUCACCCGGACCCAUCCCUCCGAUCCAAAUGAACUAAAGUUUAGUGCACUUGUUGCGGAUGGAGUUAGUCCGCUAGGGCACGGGCGUCGGCUUAGUUUUAUGCUGUCUGAUGUACUAGCGGGAAUUUUCCUCCCCCAUUUAGCGCCCACCCACCCUAUGGUUAAGGGCGCAAAAUAAGGUAUCGUACAGUGCCGUGUUCCGUUUGAUUCACUCCAUCGCCCAUUGGAAACUAGAGUGAGCGCAUUACAAUCUUUUUUUUUGUUGUGUUGUAGCUUCCACCAUUUGGCAGACGCGCAAACGCAUUCACUAAAGCGAUGAUUGUUGUGAAGAGCGGUGGAGACGGUGCAUUGCAUUAUCGGUGCAACAACAGAAGCGCUUGUUAAUUUAUGAGAGGAAAGAAAGGGGUAUUGGUGGUGGUAUGAUGGUUAUGGUGCAAAAAUAGUAAUUGUGAAAGUACAGUAGAAAAUGGCGUUACAUGUUCUGCUGCUUCUAAUUGUCGGUAGCAUUUGAAGAAAAGGAUAAAAUGAUUUUUUUUAACACAAACCAUAACUCGUUCAAACUAAGCAUUCGUAAGCAGAAGAGUGUUCGUCACGAGUUCGUCUUUGGUUGAGCUUUGGAUUUAUUUAUUCUGUGUGCAGUAUGAUUGAAACGAUCCAACUUCUAUAACAUCCAUCAAGGUAUAGAAGACAAAAAUAGCACGCAUUCUAGUGAUCAUUUAUAAUUUGCAUCACUGCAGUAGCUGAAGAAGCAUAUGAGAUAAUAUAGAAUUACUCAUACCAUAAUUUUUCUCUAAUAGCCCUACAGGGCAUCAACAUAAUUAUCUAAAGAGAUCUGCAUGAACCAUUGUCCCCUGCAGUUUCCAAUUGAUUCAUUCAUUAGUGCACAAUUUUAAACUUCGUCCAAUUCACCCACCGUGGGCGAAAAUCAUGAUUUAGGUGGUACCAAAACAACGCAUCAUCAUACGUUCGACUCGUUUGACAUACAUGGCCCCGUUGCGUAAAAGUGCACAGCGCCGACAGCGACUCGCCCUCUGCGCGUAUGUCCAUGUGAUUGUGCGCGCGCGUAGUUUUGCCGUUUUUUUUUUUUUGUUUUGUUUGGGGUAUUGGUUGGUUUUCUUUCUGUUGUGCUUUCCUACGAGUGCAUCUCUCACCGUGUGCAACCCUGCUGCACAUUAGAUCAUCGCCUGCUGCUCGCCAUCGUUCUACCAUUCGCGGCGUGCGGCGAAACAAUCCCCCAGGAAGGGUUGUCCGAUCCGGGGACGGGACGUGAGAAUGCAAACGCUCUAAAAACCUCAAACUCUCAAGCUGCUAGCCCUAUCAUCCACUCCAACGCCCGGUUGCAGCAUUUGCACCACCCGAGAAAGAGAAAUGCAUUUACGUUGACGUUAAGUGUUUUUAGAGGAAGCAGUACGAUCGAAUCGGUAUAGAAAUAGGGAACGGGAGAUCGCACCAGGGACAGUUUUUUUUGGGAGUGCAUUGUCUGGUGCACUUCCUCCACUGUUCUCGCAGCCCCCCACUCUAGUGGAUCCGCUACGCAACGGAACAAUACCGAAGCGAGAGAGAAUGCCGAGUGCAGCGAUCGUAAACGGGAAAGCGCUAGAAGCGGAGAAUCAAAAAUCAUCCCCUAGGGGGGGAGAGAAAGAGGACGGAAAAGAGAGAGAGAGAGAGAGAGAGAGAGAGUGAGAGAGAUCAAGUGUACUGUUAAGUUUUCUAACUGCACAUAGAGGCAAAACAAAAGAAAAUGAAAUACGCAACGGCGUUAGGUAGGCCGCAAGGUGCAAAUGAGCCGGGAUUGGGUAAAAUAUGUUAAUAAUUGCAUUUAAACAAUUUCUCUACCUUUCUGGCCCUCUUCGCAUCGUUUUGCUUAUCGCGAGGAACUCGAUGGUAUUCUAUCGAAAUUAAUGUUCCAGUUACACUCGGAGAGCAUGGGAUGAAGAUCAUGGCCCAGGUUACGCGGGAUAUCAGCCUGUCUAAUGAACCGUUGCUACUGGAUUUCUCCACUUUUCGCGGGCAAUUAUGAUUCAUUACCCGCUCACAGUGCAUUCAACGUGUGCUAUCUGUUGAUCUUCAAUCUGUGAGAUAGUUCCCUUUUUGUCUGACGUUGAAUUUUUAAUACGGAUCGAUUGCGCUCCAAUUGCGCACGAAAUUUGCUCCUCAGAUUAAGCAACUGUAAGUAGCACUUCUUGCUGAUCGAUAGGCGGUGUAAGGUUCCGCAAUUCAGUUCCAUGGCUCACUUGUACCGUGACAGCUGUGUUUGUGUGUUACGUCUAUGGAAUGUCAAAGCCAGGGUGUGUUUUGAUUUGUGUGAUGCAUUUUAAUGAACUCAGUCGCAGCGUAGAACAAUUGCUCGUUGGUGAGAUUGAACGAGGUGUCUUAUCACCACUAAUCGCUUCGCGAUCAUUUGUUCGCUGAAACGCUACCUCAGCAUCAACUUUAUUUAUUUAGCUCAAGUGUGUUCCAACCAGAAAAACACGUAAAUUUAUCUUACAAACAAACUGCACCAGUUCGAUAUCGCUUCGACCACUGAAAAUUGUCCGCAAAGAAGCGUAACGAAUUCUCGGAACGCAAGCAGCGCAGAGCAGGCGAGCUUUGUUUGGUGUGCCGUUGCAUUUUCCACCCUUUCGUACGAGCAACCGAACGUCGAAAGCCAACAGCCGAGAAAGCAUUUUCCAACCACCACCAGCGCGGCAGGGACCGACGGAUUUUCCCCGAAACGGCGAGGAAAAGUGUAUGGGAAUGCAAAGGAAAAACAUGUACAACGCCGAUACAGGGCGACACGCAAAUGCAAAGCAAAUCGCAUACAUUCGUUUGCCUUUUUCCCGCCAGCCGGGGAAACUUUCACUCGGGCCGUUUUCACCCGACAGAAACCACGACUUUUUCACGGUGUUUGAGUGUCGGAACAAUCAUGAACCGAUUGCGAAUUGGAACGCGGAGCUUAGGGGGGUACACUAUGGCGGGAAGGAACGGGGUGGCAUGAGUUCCUCCACCACCAUCAAGCGACACUCUUCAAUGACAGUGCAACGAAAUGGGGUACAAGCGCGUGGGAGAGAGGAGGGAGGGUGUUGGUAAGAAUUUUCCGACCCCAUCGUAAGUGCGCGUGCUGCUUUUUGUAUUAUUUUUAGUCGCGCUUAUCCUUCGCCUCGGAAUGUUUCAGUCAGUAUCGUGUGUGUCUUCAGCCUGUUCUCUCUCUUGCGAAGUGCGAAUUGUUUUGAUAUUUUUCACACUCAAACAAACGGGGUGAAAUUUGGAUGCAUCCUCUUUGGUUGCAUUGGUCACGAAUCGAUCAUGGUCGAUCACGUGGAUCGACGGAGGUUCGGAAAAGCCAGGACGGUGGGUCCCAAGAUUCUGACCAUCAAGUUUGAAUGGCCACCACCACCACCACCACCGAAAGCUGCACGAGAGUAUGUUGUGCAGCAGUCGGAAGACAGCUGAGAGCAGAUUCUGUCGACUUUUCGAAUUCGGAUUUGGUUGCUCACUGCGAUCGCGGUUCGGCCCUUUGCUGCGACCAUUGAUGCAGAGAAGGGACCAGCACAAGGCAUCUCUAUCACACGCUCUGUCUUUCUCUCUCCUUCUCGCUCAUUCGUAGUAGCAAUCUUCAUCCGUAGCUCUGACUCUCGGUUUCCUCACGGUUCGCGGUUCGCGUAUCGAUGGACGGAGAUAAAUCCGUUGUUCUGCGCACGGAUGGAGAACGAGAGAGAGGGAGAGAGCGAGAGAGUGAGAGAGCAGAGUUUGAAUGUGUGUUUGGGCGAAAUAGAGAGGGCAGGCUAUUUAGUACGCAUGUAUGCGCGCACUUGAAAGCUAUUUACCCGUUAGUGCGCGGCCAGGCCAUUUCAGUGCUUUUCCACUUGGCACCCCGGCAAGGUGUGUGCCGUACGCUCCCACAUAAUACAAUCCGCCCAGCACAAACACGUUCGCGCUCGCCAAACACACACACACGCAUGCACACAAUAAAGACGUGAUCGAGAAACAUGGAGGCACCUGUAGAGCGCGCGCGAGACACCCCCCACGGGUGCAAGGAACGGUUGGUCCGGUGGCGGUGGCUCAGCUGUUGUGUGCGCGCGUUCCCAUCCGUCAGUUGGCCGCGAUCUCUGCUGGGAUGCGCUCGUCUUGCUGCACGCUGCAAUCAUUGGCACGCUACCGGAUUGGGUGAAGUUGGGCAACUGCUUGGAUUCGCAACUAACACCCCUGACCUGCCCAAACUGCGGAUGGAUGCGAAGUUGGAUCCCAGCCCUGCGGUAGCUUCGGUCAACAGUUCCAGGAAGCGGUUGCAUAGUUUUCGCACUUCAUCCCCGGAGAGGAACUUCAAUUACGCGCAGUACAAUACGAUCGCCGUGCCUGUCUGCCUGCUAGUGUAAUUGCGAAGAUCCGGCAGAUCGGGGUUUCUCACUCCCUUUAUUGCAACGUCCGAGUGUUCGAGUGUGUGUGUGUGUGUGUGUGAGUGUUUUCUGUGACUGUUCAAUUGUGGUCGCGCGGGGCCACGUGAAACUAUUCAAAGAGGGUAGGGAAUUUCGCAACGAACGGUGGAUAGUUUUUUGGUGCUACUAUGACGCACCGCGAUAGACCCACGAAUCCAUUCUUUUCGGAUGGAUCGAAUCGAUCGGUGUACAUAUCGUGCGUGUUUGUGUGUGCGUGCUGGUGAAGCUGGGUAUCUCAGGUACCCGCAGGAUACAGGAUGUAAAAGGAAGCGGCCACUGUUGAAGCGUUUUUUGUUUUACACGUAUUUUUUCUUCAAAAAGCGCUGACGUGUUGGAAGCUUCGUCCCGUAACCUAUUUCGCAUGGUGCACCCUUACGGGGGAGACUCGAAAGAGCAGCAUCUAGCUAGCAAGAUGUGAUCCGUGUCACUAUUAAACAUUCACGUCAAACGUCAUCGUCAGCAUCAUUCGUUAGUUGGCAGAUAGUAGUAGUAGUAGUAGUAGUACGACUUCGAUUGCCGGUGGUUUGGUGACACUGGUGGUAUCUGGACAUUCUCCACCAGUAUACGGAACCCCGAGCGGUUCACAAACAGGAAUUGAUGUCCCCUGAUCUUGAUCUUCGUGAUCAUGCGUACGAGAAGCAUGUCGAACCUGACACACACCUUUUCACAGUUGAUGAUAUAACACCGGCCCGCUCUCUGCCCACUGAUGGCAACGUGGACUAGGAACAAACAAACAAAAAAACAACACACAUCACAAACCACUUGGCCAUUUGCUGGCGAUUCAACGAUUUUACAAUCGUCACACACAACAAGUUUGGCUCAUCAGCGUCGAUGUGUGUGGCGUUCCAGCGACGUUUCCUUAUCGCUUUCUCCUCCACCGAGAGUUGUCGCACACUCGGGCGGGUUUUUCACGCGAUUCUCCACAACACAGCGUCCGGUACGCGACGUGUUGUGCCUCGUAUUCCGACGUGUCAACCGCUCUUUUGGUUGUUGGUAUGCCGUUGUUCAACCCCGUUGCUGUGUGCAUCGUGUUGCAUCCUGCUGUGUGUCGAUGCAACUGCUUGUGGCCACACACACACAUACAGUUUGAUAACGCACACCAGCAAGUGGGGAGAGACUUUUUGGAGUACGAUCAGAUGAAAUGAAGGCCACCGGGGUUUGAGCAGUUGAGACAUUUUGACCUGCAGCUAGUAACAACCACUGGAAAGCAAUAUUAAACGUUGCAGGUUUGCAAAGGAAAACCCCCAGCAAGAAAAAGGUUGCCGAAAAAAAACCGGAAAAUGGAGGAAACACAGAGCGAGAGUUGGAUGGACCGCGUGGACAAGUAGUUGGCGUUUAUUUUCACUGCUCCACUGUUGCCUAGCGGUUUGACGGUGGGAAAGAACAUAACGAAGGAGGGGAAAAUUAGGUCGGUGAAAAGUGUGUAAACGUGUGUGUGUGCGUGUGUUUGAUGUAUUUUUGUAUGACCACGAUCGUACGGUGGUUUUGUUUUUUGGAUCUUCGGAGCGCUACCGUUUCGAUUUUGUACCGCGUGGAAAAGCGGUACACGGUACAGAUUCGUCGUUCGAUUGCACAAGGCCCCCCGGCCGGAGAAGCCCGUGGGAUGGAAAAGAAAUUGGUCAACAGUACGCGAGUGGGGAGCCGUGCGUGUGCAAGAUGAUCGUCGCUCAUGUUUGACCAACGCGUUUCGUCAGCGCCAUGUUCGCCACGGAACAAUAUAUAAAUGUAUUCCACGGCACGUGAGAUAUGACGAACCGGUCGUAGCGAAGAUCGUAGCGUUACACCUUUCGCAUCACGUCUCGAUCUGCUGCUACUGCUGUAUGAUGUUUAUUUUCUCUUUCAAAACGUGUCAUUUCGUGUGAGUGAGCUCCAAAAGCCUUUUUUUUGUCCCCCCGGAAGGUUGAAAACAACCGUCACAAUCGAACCGCUCAAGUACUGGCCUGUUGAGAAAGCGUUUUUUAUUUUGCUGAGGAUACACAAAGACUGGCAUCUAGAGCACUUCAACCAGGAUAAGCUGGGAUGGCUGCCUAGCUGCUCGGUAGUUAGCACCGGAGCUCUAAUUGAGAUCGCGAAUCGGAAUCUAUCCGCGCCGUAGCUUACAGAAGAAACUGAUUUAGAAAAUACUAGAUUGAUGUAGGGUAUAUACGGCUGGUUGGAUUGCUUAAACGAACCAUUGCAAUAGGACUUUGGUGGGAUACGCAUCGAUCAUAAUGUUUGAAAUUGUCGCAAUGGUAUAAUUGCUAACUAAACCACCAAACAACACUACACAAUUUCUCCUCGUUCGCGCAAUGGAUCUUAUUACAUCAGAACCGUCAAGGUUCCACAGAGUUUCUCUCUGUGCGUGUGUAUGUGUGUAUUAGGGCUUUUCUAAAUAAAGCCCUAGCUCCCUACACGUUUUCUACCAACCCGGGGGGCUAGACGCGUUUACCGCGUGCAGUGGUGGGAACAAGGGGUGGCGACGGAGGACUGGGAAGCGAGGCAGGAAGUAGGAAUGCGAAAAAAGCAGCCUUCAAACGGCGGUGCAACUCGUCAUGUAGUCAGGCCCGGUGUGCAAAAAUUGUGCAAUAGCAAAUGAAGGUCAGUAUGUUGCAGUUGCAGUGGCAGACGUCGGCUGCCACUUACGCUGCUGUGAGUGUGUCUGUCAGCGAGAUAUGCCAUCCGCUCGCGCUGGUGUAUAUUCGAGUGCUUGGGGAGGGGGCGGUUAAAACAAAACCACACUUUUAGUAUAAAGUGUAGAGGGCAAAAAAAAGCAAGAGAAACCCCUUUACAUCCGUCCAAUAUCCGCUACCGUGCCUGGGUGGACAUGCAGCCUAUAGCGGUAGAACAUUUUUAACAAAAGCGUUCUGAUAGUCGGAAGCCAUUUUUAUUGUUGUAUGUGUUUGAGCGUUAGUGUUUGAUGUAUCCAGGCAGAGGAGGAUGCAUUGUAACGAGCACACUUUUUUUUCUAAUCCCAUUUUUUUCCUAUGCAAUUUUCUUCCAAUUCUUGUUCCUGUUCCUCGUCGCAUUUUUAAUGCGGAAAUGUAUGCAAAAGACCUUCCACGAUUCAAGCAGCCAGCCCCACUCUACCACCCAAAACAUUCGACCAUAUUAAUUGGAAAGGUGCACGAAAGAUUCGUUCGACUGGCGGUGUCUAGCUGGCAUUGGGUGGGCAUUGUCGAGUGGUUCAUGAUAUGUGCCACCGACCACCCCUUCAUUGUACGAUCGAGCUGUACAAAAAAGCGGGUUAGUAGUGGAACGCCUAGGCCCCGUGCACACGCGUUACCAGUGUGUACGGGGUGGGUGGACUGUGCAGGAAACGGGGUGAUAGGGCACGUCGAACCGAUAUGUGUGUCGGAAGCCGUCAUCGAGAAGCCGUUUGGGAAGUGGGAAGUCACACGGUUCUGAGUGUGUGUGUGUGUGUGUGUGUGUGUGUGUGUGUGUGUGUGUGUGUGUGUGUGUGUGUGUGUGUGUGUGUGUGUGUGUGUGUGUGUGUGUGGGAGGUCAAUGGGGAGACACAACCUUGCACAAAGUCGUCCUAGAUGUUGAAUGUGCAGCCACCGUGGGGGGGGGGGUUGUUGGGAUUCGAGGGAACACCUACAACAUCGGUUUGAGAAUGGCACACGAUGACAACCGAACGGUGGCGAUGGAUGGUUUUCCCUUUUUUUGCUUUGCUACUUGAUUUCGCUUAGAGCUUGUGUCCAAAAUAAGCCAGUGCAACUAGGGCACCACUAGAACACACUCGAAUGUGUUCGUAUUGGGGUUUUUUUUCGCCAACGGUUCCGCAAAAUGCAUUGUGAAUUAUGCAAAGUGCAAGAAUUUUAUUCCACUGACCACGGUGACAUGUAUUUGUUUUUAAAUGCAUUUUGAUGUACCGGACUGGCAAGAAAUUCGAUAAACGAUUAUUGCUAUUUAAAAAGCAUCUCGUCGCCUCGUCUGGUCAGUGCGAAGGGAUGAGUUGCGAAAGAAUAAAGCCAGCAUGAAGGACAGAAGCGUCCCGCACCAGUGUGUGUUGGCAAAUGUCCCACCCCAUUAUGGAUCCUUUUUCGGUCUGGUGCUGCGCGCUACACUGGCUGCAAGAUGCAUUUGUCCUUUUUGCACAAUGACGCAUCGUGACAUUAUGUAGGCGAGUUUCCUUCGGACAUCGCACAUCCUUGAAGUGUUAUUGGCAAAUGCUAAAAGUGUUAGCCAAAGCGGCCAACGAUUUAACCUCCGCCUUUGGCAAUCAAAUCCCGUUUUGUCUGCUCGUUAUGUAAAACUUGGCAGUUGGUUUGUCUUUUGCCAAGGGAACGAUCACAUAUUUUCACUGUCUGGCAAAGAGAGCAGAGUUUUCGUGAGCGUGUGUGCGCCAAGUGCCCCACAAACGGCUAACUGAUUUGAGUCAUACAGUUGCACACAAGACGUCAGUGGUUUUGGAGACAUUCAACCACGCAUAAAAAUAACUAAUCAUUCUCGGAACCGAGGGCUAUCGUUAUCAAACUUUACAACACAAUAUGGCGGCCUGUUAUCAUUGAAAACGACUCUUCGAUGGUGAAUUUCAAAGGUCGUCACCUAGAUUUUAUCGUGACGCUUAAAAACAAACCCCCUUUUUUCUUAAAUUUUGCUGGAUAGGAAAUUUGCAAGAAUGUAACCAUGAGCAAGCAUCAUGCAACAGAUAAACGCGAUAAAGCGAAGGUGCUAACUGUGCGUGAUAAGAUAAGACACACACGACCGAUUAAGGGUGUGUAGUGUAGUGGUGUAGCAGGCCGACUGUAGCUAGGCUACAUGUAUUUUAUGCUAGAACAAACACCCGAAACCGGACCUCACAUCCGGAUUGAUCUGGCUGGAUGGAAUUUUUUGGUGGGUUAUUUUAUUUCAUUUUUUUUCGUGGACUUGAAACGUGUUGCAUGCCUCCCAUGACAGUCAAAGUGGUACGGAAAGCGGUUAUCAGGCGCACAUAUUAAAUAAUGGCCCAGUCAGGGGAAAAGGUACAGUGUCCCGACGUGGUGUUAUCGCGCGAUGAGACGACCCUUAUCUGCCUGGCGGGUAAAACAAUGAAGCUCGCAACGCGUGGCAGUGUGUUCCGAUGCACACUAGACAGGCGACAUGCCGCCAUUCUAAUCAUUGUCUCGCGUAUGUGUGUGACACCAAACAGACACACUCAGACGCCCGGACGGGCUGAUCAUUUGUGGAACGUGAAGAACGGAACUCCCGUUACAGUAACCGAUCGGGCGGGCGAACCUGUAAAAUGUAGGUGAAACAAUGCCGCACCCCGAAUCGGACAGCUGUGUAAAGGGGAAGCAACACACCAAUCCGUUGUUUCGGAUUUCAAACGGCAGGUUUCGAUUCCCCAGCGUUGUGUUGGGUACCGUUUGGUACCGAAAGCUGGCACAAGGCAAAGGAAGAAUUGAUUUUGACCAUCUUGUCUAGCCAAGUGAAAUGGACGGUGAAAGAUCCACAUCCAGCCUGCACUAUCGCGCUUGCGAUAAGCUCCGGAGUGACUCACUGUAAAUCCAAACCAAACCAGCCCAAUUUCAGUCUUCCGGCUUGCGGGUGGAUGGAAAGAACGGAAGCUAUCAUUGGAGGCGAGGGAUGUAACUGUAGGUUUCGCAAGCUGACGUCAGCUGUGGGGUUGGUUGGUGAGAGCAUAGGAGCUCUUAUGACCGUUUCUCAUGAAGGGAGUAGGAACGAACAACUACCACCCAGACAACCCUUACCGUAGCGAGAAAGCAAACCGUUCUACACCGAAGAUGGUGCGUAAUUUUAAAGCAUAAUUAUCAUAUUAUGAUCCAUCUGCCGUUGGGGCGUAUGUUGCUUUCGUACUGCGGUGGGUGAAAAGCGGACUCAUCCAACUAGAACACCGACGCGGCGUUCGUGUACCGCUAAUCGUAUGUGUGUAUGCCGGGUGAAGUUAGCGGCAAACGGUUUUUUUUUUUUGUACCAUAGCGGGUUUGUUUGGAUGAGGAAACCAGCCUGCCGGUAACAUGUACUGCUGGCUCGGCUCAUGCACAUUCCAAUAUAACCUAAUACUCAUGGUUCGAUAAGCGAGCGCAUGAUAAAGACGUGCACUUCCUAAUGUAAGCUGCUAGAAUUAUGGUGAAGAAGAAAACGGGUUUUCCUCGAGCCUUUAGCGAAAUGAACUCCGAUGAUGUUCAAUAAACCGCAUCAAAUUGCGUUAUCGCGUUACCCAAAUGCUGGUGCUGGUUCACUGGUAACGGAGUAGCCGUGUACUAGACUCGUAACUGUGCUUGUGUAUUAUUCAACUUAUGGUUGAAUUGAACUUAUGGUGAGGUUGCAUACAGGUGCAGUGGUGCCAAUGGUAUGCACUGGUGGCCUUGUACAUUAGGUUAGGUCACCCAGACACUCCAGACAAGGAAGCUGCUAAAAGCACGUGUUUGAUUAAGUGUAGCUUCCUUACUUUUUCAAUUAACCUUGAAGAUACAAACGAUGGUGUGUAUCUCACAUGAAACCGAUUUGGCAAUUGGGUAAGGAAGCUAAUAAAAUUAAAGCUUUCUGUAAAAGGAUACGUUUCCUAUAAGGGAAUGGUGUUGGAUCAACCGAAGCAGCAGUAAUUUCCAAUAAUGGAGUACUAUUAAUACUAACAAAAAUACACAAAGAAGUGCUAUAUGCUACAGGUGCAUACGCAACAAGUACUUAAAAUGCAACACAAGAUUGUGUGGAUGCUCGAGGGUUUGGCUUAACGUUGACAACCAUCCAACCGGCUCCCUCUCUACGGAAUUGCUUUGUUGCAAUCCAGGUGACGAUGGUAGUAUGAAGGUAAUACUUUGUACUUCAAUUUGUAUUAGUGUUGCAUAAUACACUACGAUCUGUGACAUUUGUUACCCAAAUACUUGAACCCAAAAAUUGCUCUGCGAAAUCAAUUCUCUUCCUGAGGGUUUGUUUAUGAGUACUACCAUGUGACUUUGCGAACUCUUGUAAAUUAUAAGAGAACUAAUUGAGAUAAACGAAUGCAUCACUCCACCGAAUAUGCUCCUCUCAGGGUCUCGGGGGUUAGAAAUGUGCGUAGAAUGCAGUUUCGUGUUGCACAAUGCACGACCCACCCUACCGCGUUGGCAUUGCACAGAAACCACCACAGGAAGACCCACCACUUGCAUUGGUUUGUACGAUAUACUAUGCACCACUUGCACUACCACGAACCUGAGGUGUGUUUGUGUGGGUUUAGACAAGCAAGAACACAUUUGUGCACCGGGUAAUUGCUUAGCGCUGAGACUAGAUGCUCUUACGUCACAUGGAACUGAGCAAUCGAAGUAGAUAAUAAGUAGUAGAUAACAAAUUCUCAAUAAUGAUGCUAACGGUGACGAUGACAAUGAAAGUGAUGCUAGUAACGAAGAUGAUGAUGAUAGUAAUGAAAGGUUAAUAAUUCUGGUCGCUACGCUUUCUCUUGGUUGAGUUUUGGGGUACGUGUCAGAGGUGCAUUUACAUCGAGCUACAGCCGUUAGAGGUAUUUGUAAAUGCACUAUCUGGUACGACAUUCCAGAAUCGAUAUUCGUCGUAACGGGAGAGCAAGAGAAGUAGCCGACCCACCGUACCAGAGGGUGAAUUCCCCACAUGGGAUGGGGUUGAAAUGUAUUUUAAACGUGCGCACGCUGAAUCAUCGAUGCGCGAACUGAUUGGCGCACAGCGUAAUGACGAGCGUGCCUGUGUGUGCAUGUCUGUAGACGGAGAGUUCGAAUGCAGUGGUAAUGGCGAAAAAAAUAUUAACAUUUAUAAAUUAUUAUGGCCAACGACAGCAGCAGUAAAACAGCAUCAGACAGCACAACCACGAGCCGUACUUGUGCCUUGAAAUGUUUCACUAGCAACAGUUUGCGUGUAUGCGUAACUUAUCUAAAUAAAUUGUUUUACAAGCUCUUUGCUUUUCACAUCGUUGCUCAAUGCCUUGUUAAUCCAAAAAUUAUAAUAAAAAAAACUUUUCUUGCAUUAAACAAA